rnacentral:misc_RNA from 1 species
UUAUUGAGUUUAAAUGUCAAUUGGAGCCACUUAAUAAAUAAACACACUUCUAAGAAUUCUGAUUCGUAAAAUGGUAAGAUAACACAUUUGGAUUACUUCCUCUUGACCGAACUUACGACACUGUAUUUGGUAAUAUGAAAAAUGAUCCGAAAGAGUAGAACAAAAUUUUAGUAGACUUCAAGAUUUACCAGUAUCGAGGUGCUCUGCAUCAGACGAUUAACAGCUUAAAUAUUGCUGAAAAUUUGGCACAACAUAGCAUCGGCUAUCAGACCAUAAGUUUCAAAAUUCCUAUAGCUUUAUGUCGGAGCCGGAAUUUGCUUAGCAUUGGAAACCAUGGCUUUGUUAGGAAAAUCUUAAUAAAUCAUCAAUCUGACUCUCAUCAUACCAAUGAUUUCUCAAGAAUUCAAAGAAUGGACUAAUGGAUCAAGAGAACAUUAGAUACCUAAAAUUUCCCUGAACAAAAACUUGAGCAGUUGCUUCAUUUUUUUCAUUGGAUUGAUUAAAAAAAUAAUCCCUACAUGGUCAUCUUCUUCAAGAUAAGAUCUCAACAAAUCGACAUUCUUUCCACAUUUUGGGCUAUGAACCACAAAAAUAAUAAUGGCAGUGAGCUUUAUCCGUCAGCUUGCACAAUCUUGGUGUGAGAUCCUUGGACAAAAAGCUCCAUAUAAGCUGAAACUGCAGUAUUUUCUGCACCCAGAGAGGAAUGCUGUCAAGGGGUAGUUCAGACAUUUGCAACUUAAUAUCAUCAAUCCCUUGAUAUGAUCUGCAUACAUCUUGGACGGAACAAGCAUCACUGGUGCAAAGGCUUUUGAUACAAAAGCUUCAUAACUGCAGGGUGCAUCUAACAAAUACAAGGAACCUCAUUAUCUGGCAACUCUGACAUUAGGAUCCUGAAGCAUCAUCCUCAGGAGAUGAAUCCUUUGAUGCUUGCUCAUCAUCAUCCUCUUCUUCAUCCUCAUCAUAAUCCAUAGGAGUAGGGUGUCCAUUAAGAUCAACAUUUACACCAUCAACCUUUCGCACGAACUGCCCCCGCACACGAGGCCUCCUUUCAGCAAGCUUUUUCCUAUUAACAUACCUGAUCUUCUUAUCGAAACAACGCUCUUUCCUUUUCUGUCUAAAUUUCAACAAUGCUGCUUCUCUUCUAUCUAAUUUAUUUAGUUUCACAUCAGGGGAAGAUGAACUUCCGAUUGAUGGCCACAAAUGAGUACUAGGCAUUUGACCAGGUUGUAAACAUAUAUUAACAGGGUAGUAGGGAAAUGAUGCCAUCCCAGUCGCAUGAGGUGAACAUUGUGGAAAAUGAUUGUAUUGAGGCAGAAUAGCUGAAGGUACAUUAUUUUGCAGCUCAUGCAUAUUCUUUUGACAUAGUUGUGCUGAUGAAGGCAUUAUAACUUGAUUCAUAACUCCUGACAUAAAAUAUGGAUAAACACUUUGUGUGGUACCUGAAGCAUCGAGUUGAAGCUCAUUUCUUGGAUGCACAAGCACCUGAGGGAGGUUUUCAUCCUUGAAAUUUCCUUGAGGAAAUUCCCUUGACAUGGGUGGGGUGCAAGAUCUCUCCAAAGAAAGAGAAUCAGGGACACUAGAACUGCUACGGAAGUCAUCUUGUGAGUAUCUCUCCCAUGUCUCUCCAUUUUUAUGUAAUUGAGCAUCAAUAACCACUUGCUGACCACAUGCUUCAACUUUCUCUUCCAUCCUCAUAUUUUGAGUAGCAUUGUCCUCAAUGCUGACGAACCCUUGGGUGUUGUUUUUGAUUGUGCUUGACUUGGCAUAAGUAAAGAAGGCAGAAGACUCACCAAUCUUCAAUUCGCUCUUCUUUGGACCAGAUGAUAAUUGUCCUCUUCUGCGGUCACUUAUUCCUGGCACAUCAGGCCUAUAUUCCAGUGGAUUGCUAGGUGAAGGCUCACUAGCAGCAGCAGCAGCGGCAGCGGCAGCGGCAUUAGCAACGGCGGCAGCAGCAACAGACUCAUAUUCCUGAUGAGUUGAUACAACCAUUUCAGGAUUUGUGCACUUCCGAGACUUGUCAUCUGUGUCAUCGGAGAAUAGAGUAGUACUAUUUGUGUUGGCAUCACUAGGAUCUGAUGCUACCAGGUCAAAGUCAUAAUUCAAGAUGUUCUUCUCCACCAGUCCAAGCAUGCGCCUCCUUCUCCACAUGUGUGUCCACAGGUUCAACAGCUCAUUAGUGCGUAAUGGUUUUACAAGAUAGUCUGCUGCUCCUAACCUCAAGCACUUAACAACAAUUGAGACCUCAUCCUGUGCCGACAUCACUUAUCAAAGCAAAAACAUUUCAAUAAUGGGGACCUAUGUCCAAAAAAGGAUUAUAGUACAAAAUAGAACAGAAGUGAAUAUUUCAGGAUAAGCUUACUGAUCACAGGAAUGCGCCGUAACUCUUUAUCCCGGGUGAUGUACUUCAACAUCUUCAUGCCUUUCUUCAUUGGAAGGUCAACUUCAGCAAGUAUGAUAUCGAUAUCAGGUCCAUCAGCAUUCAAUGCAUCAAUUACCUGCCUAGCUGAUCUCACUGAUGUAACCUGAUAAGAGCACUUCAAAAGAAGUGUAAAAACUUCCUCAGAGCUCCUGGUGUUGUUAUCACAUAGCAGAAUCCUUACUUUGCUUCUAUCAAUGACCCCAUCACCACUCUUACUGUUCCCAACACCUCCUCCACUCUCCUUGUUUAUAUUCUGCUCCUUUCCCUCCAUAGCUCAUCAGAACAGCACACUUAAUUCACCUCUCCAAAACUGCCUGCGCCUCUCUCUCUCUCCCAUACACACAUACACACAUAAACAACAAAACAAAAAGACCAGAGAAAGGGCAAAUACUAGAGAACUUUCAUGGAAAACCUCUCCUCCUUCUUUAUUGGGAGAGAGAUUAGGGUUAGGGCUCGGAUCAAUAGCUGCAGAGAAUUCAUUUACACAUACUCAAGACACAACCAAACUUGCAGACAAAGCGAGGAAGAAAGGAGAAGAAAAAAAAGCAGCAGAUUAAAAAAAAAAAAAGCUGCUAAAAAUAGUUUUUAAUUUUAUAUGCGCAAGUUAGCUCAGCUCCAUCCAUAAAAGGCAAGCAAACUAAGGGAAGACAAAUUUGUCAGAAUAUCGGCGGUCUUCAGCGGGGAUCUUAGUGGGACCAAGAGGGGAAUCAACAGCCAGACUUAGAUCACCGGAGACCCGACCCACCUUUGCUUAACGCAAAAGCAAAGGGUUUUUACUCUGUGAAGUCCUCUCCCUCUAUCUGAUUUCCCUUUCUCUAUCAGCUUUUCAAUUUUUAAUUUCGGUAAUUAAAAG